CACCACUUUAUCUCUUUUGCAGAUUGAUUGAUAAUCUAAUUGAUGUUAUGGCAUUUUUCCUCGUGAUUAUCAAUUUUUAUUGAAACCUCGUAGGGACUAGGGACUAUGAUAGAUAUUACCUAUUAUUAAAGAUAUUCCUGCUUUAUUAAAGAGGGCAAGAAGUAGUGUACUUAUUGUCUGCUAAUUGUUAAAAUCUAGGUGUUUUUAUGUUCUUUUGAUGGUAAAAAAGGGAAAAAGGAGGACAAAAACACGAAACCAAUGACCCAUACAUGCACACACAAACACGUAGCAACUGACUUGUAUGAGCCGGCUGAUUGAUUGAUGGCCAAGACUCUGCAACAGUAUUAACAAAGAAAUGAUGUCAUCUUAGGUUAGAAAUGCUUAAUAUGCUGUCACUACAGGUGACACACAGUUGUUUUGUUACUUUAUUUUCUUACAUUAAUUGAGGUUCUUUACAAUUUUGAUGUGUAGUCAGUAUUUUGCACUACUGGAUCCUUUCUUUAGUUAGUAUCCCAUCAUUGUUAAACAAAUCAUCAAUUAGUUAUUAUGUUGAUGCCUCAUUUAUCCUAUUCCUUCAGUCGAUAGGUCAUUAGCACUUGUGGUCCUAAUGUGCAGCCAUACUUUUUCUGCCAGCUUCACAAUCAUAAAUUCUAUAACUUGUCACGAGACUGUUAGUAAGCAUGUCCAUACAAACAAGCACAUAAAGAAAUGGUGGCUUGUGUAUUCUGCAAUCAAUAACUGAACAGUGUAUUCUGGCACAUGUGCUAAUUUUAACUUACAUCAUCCUGGUGUAGUUUGCUAUAUUUUCACCUUUGAAAUGAGAAAGAUAGUUCAUGUUAUUGUAGUGAACAUAUCGAUGCAAAGACAUCCUCACAUGUCUCCUGAUGUUAAAAGAUAUUUGUAUUUUAGAUAUACCAAGUGACUGUAUAAAAGGCUUUCUACUUACUGGAGUACGUUGCCUUUUCCCUGGUCAUCUAAGUUAACUGUAAUCCAAGGUUGUAUUAAGACAGUUUAUAUGUGAUAUUUCAGUAGACUAUUUCUUGACAUUGUCAUAAUUCUGAUCUCAAAUCGAGUUCAACAACCAAUUCUAUUCUCAUUCAUGUUGGAUAUGGUAGUGUGGGUAAUGCUACCUUUUUAUUGUCUUAAUGAGUCAGUAUAGAAAUUCACAGACAUGGAAGGAAUUGCUGGUUUGGAAUAUGAUAACCUUGUAAUUCGGGAUUGACAUGUAGGAAUUGUAGAAAAGAUGGAGAAAAAGCAUUGUAAUGUUGAAGAUGAGGUCCACUGUAACAUGGGAAAUUGUCUUUGUUUUAUAUUGACUGUGGAUUUACUUUGCAAUAUCUGAGGACAGAACUAACUGAUUCUUGUCUUUUCUUUUUCUUCCUUUU